GACCGUGCAGAAAGGCAGAGCGAAACAGUUGCACAUAACUAGGCGUUGAAGGAGUACGGAUCAUACGAACCGAGUCAACUUACAUAAAACAUAAAAUACGAGCUUACUGCACGUUCGCUUGCGUAGCGACAUGCUCUCGGCCUCUUUCUACAGCAUCCUCUUUCAUUUCGUCUUCCAUUCCACGCGCCGUAAAGCCUGUCGAGACGACCAGCAACCGAAAAAAAUGUACUCGGAAUGUGUCUCACCAACACCAAGGGAAGGGAAUUUGCUUCGGUGCAAAAAAGACAACAAAUAGGAGGAGCAAAUCUCAUAAACCAUUAUAAGAGAAGGGCAACGCAUCACGGACUGACACGGCACCACGCUUACUCGGACUCAUGCAGAGGGACAGAAGUGCCUAUCUGUGGUUUUCAGGAGGAUAUGGCCUGACACCCUUUGGCAAUGGCAAAGCAGGAGAUGAGUAAACUGUGGCGCACUAAAAUAUGUGCACUGGAUUUGUACGGAGGCGUCAGAUGCGAAAGGGGUUGAAAAGUUGAAGCGUGCCUAAAAUUUGUAAUAUUAAUUUUAUUCGCGGCCAUAUUUUACAUAAUUUAACACGCUGUGAAUGGCGAUAAUGUGCGUUUGUUUCACAAAGAGCGGCGUCUUACGUUUGGUGUAAUAUUUAAUGCACUCAAAAAAGGAUUUGUGUAUGCAUGGAACAGAAAGUUGGAACAAAUGAGAAAUUAAUAUCGUUUAAUUACUUCAAAAUGAUAGGAACAUGAACUAAUCAUUGACACCGUUAUUUAGACUUUUCACUCAAAUAACCAAAUCACUCGAUUCUUUUUACGCUCCGCCGUUUUAUUCUUUAUUCAGAGUUCCCAAUCGCCAGUAUAUGUCGCGUUAUCCACUGGCAACAACACGCAUCGGUAAAGCAAAUGCUUCGAGUUCGUUUUUAAAAUGAAAAUUAAACAUGUAUCUUUCAAGUGCUCUGUCCGUUUAUCGGCUUUUCAGUAUACCAAGCACACCACGCAAAAUGGUCAUGUUCCCUAUCAAUUGACCUGUUGGGUUAGAAUCAACGGUUUGGGGGUUCAAAAGAACAUCAAAAUUUUGUUUCUUCCGAAUUACAAAUUCGAAUUUUAUAGAAAUAGAAUUAAGUCCUUUUUCAAUGAUUGGAAUGAAUAACUUACUCUGAACGGUGUAAAAUUUUUUCCACCCAAAAUGAAUCAUUUAUUGUAACACUUGCCCCUAUUCGUAUAACUGAUCUCAUUUAUCCUCCUCAGGUUCUAGAAAGCCUAGAGCGGACUGUUUUUGUUUUGCCUUUUUGAGAAAUUUAUUUCCGAAUUCAUAAAUAACAAUGUAAUGUUCAUAAAUCGAUUUAUUCCGGACAGCAGAGGCAUGAAAAAUGAAUGACUCCAUUGAUUUAUGGUAUCACCAUUUGCUGAAAAUACUCUCAUACACACACACACACAUUCAUAUGCUAACGCAAAAGCGACAUCAGGCAUGCCGGAGAACCGAAUUGUGGCGAAACGAGAAAUAUCCCCGGAUCGGACUUGACUUCUGGCUCGUGUACGUGUACAGAAUUUUUCGGUUUAGAGCAAAAAUUGUGAGCUAUCGUUCAGUUGCAAAUAAUAGAAUAAAUGCUGUUUAUUAUUAUUCGGAAGAAUUUUUUAUUUAAAAUGAGCCAUAUUUGAUUUGACAUUAUCUCGAAUGAAGGCUGCUAAUUUUCAACCACAUAUAAAUCGAUGAGUGCGGAACAAUUAGGUUCUACCACUUGUUUGUGCGGUGCCUGAUUUUGGAAACGAAAAAAAAAACAAUAUAUUUCAGGGCACCCAUAACCCUCGAAAAUUAGUAUGUUUUGUCAGCAGGAAUAAAUAAUGCCAUCUACACUCUCUCAAUCGUUAUUGAGAGACACUUCAUUUAUUCCGAUUUGGUUGCAUCACAGUUAUCCCUCUCGUUGCACACUAUUAUAUUGUAGUUUACAAAUGGGGCGGAAAAUGUAUACGAGAUGGAAAAAUUAAACUAGAUCACACGCACACGCUUUCCGCCGAACGUACGCUUCCUGUCCGCCCCUUGGUUAGGCACAAGUUCGCCCGUUCUCUGAGGGCGCGUUCCCAAGUUUCUUGUACCUUGUACAGUAGGAAUACGUUGGAAGUGUUCUAAAUUUAUGCAUAAAACAUAUCCUGCUGUAAGAGACCAGUGAAAUAGUGGUGGUUUUGAUGGAAGCUGCGGCGGAGCGUGGCCCAAGGAAAUUGAGAUCAAGCAGGAGGAAAAAUAGGAAAAUUAUGUGUUAGCAGCUGGUGUUUUGUUCUUAUGAUUUAUAGCAAUUUAAAAUUAUUAUUCGGUGCGAGUCCUGCUUUCAUGGAAAAGUUGGAGGAGAGAGCAGUUUUUACAUAAUUUAUCUCUUAUUUAUAUGGAUUAUAUGGACGGUAGCAAUUUGAACGGGAAGCGUACUCAGACAAUUUUAACUACUCUAGUGGUAACUCUUUUCCAUUUUUCCUGCAUUCUCUCUAGUGGUAACAUAUUGCGCGGUUUUAACGUUUCUCGUGUUCAAAUUCGGAAAAGUUAAUGUAUCAUCUUCUAUUUUAUUCCCAACUAUCCCAUCCAGUAUUAGAUUUAUGUUCGAUGGCGAACCGUAGUAAAACAUUUACGCAAACAAUGUGGCGUCUAAAUGGCUUCCAUCUCACAGCUCGUUAAUCAAAUGUGAAUUAAAAACCGCGCUGCUCAAAUGAAAAGGAGACGCUCCGUACCC